CCUGGCCUUGACAUACUAAGAACUUUCCAGAGAUGGAUUGGUGCCUUCGGGAACUUAGAUACAGGUGCUGCAUGGCUGUCGUCAGCUCGUGUCGUGAGAUGUUGGGUUAAGUCCGCAACGAGCGCAACCCUUUUCCUUAUUUGCCGGCGGGUCAUGCCGGGAACUUUAAGGAUACUGCCAGUGACAAACUGGAGGAAGGCGGGGACGACGUCAAGUCAUCAUGGCCCUUACGGCCAGGGCUACACACGUGCUACAAUGGUCGGUACAAAGGGUUGCUACCUCGCGAGAGGAUGCUAAUCUCAAAAAGCCGAUCGUAGUCCGGAUCGCAGUCUGCAACUCGACUGCGUGAAGUCGGAAUCGCUAGUAAUCGCGGAUCAGAAUGCCGCGGUGAAUACGUUCCCGGGCCUUGUACACACCGCCCGUCACACCAUGGGAGUUUGUUGCACCAGAAGUAGGUAGUCUAACCGCAAGGAGGACGCUUACCACGGUGUGGCCGAUGACUGGGGUGAAGUCGUAACAAGGUAGGCGUAGAUGA
rnacentral:rRNA from 1 species